UAUGGUUGUGUGCCAGCCGCCGCGGUAAUACGUAGGUGGCGAGCGUUGUCCGGAUUUAUUGGGCGUAAAGGGAACGCAGGCGGUCUUUUAAGUCUGAUGUGAAAGCCUUCGGCUUAACCGAAGUAGUGCAUUGGAAACUGGAAGACUUGAGUGCAGAAGAGGAGAGUGGAACUCCAUGUGUAGCGGUGAAAUGCGUAGAUAUAUGGAAGAACACCAGUGGCGAAAGCGGCUCUCUGGUCUGUAACUGACGCUGAGGUUCGAAAGCGUGGGUAGCAAACAGG
rnacentral:rRNA from 1 species